UGAACUAAUCUCUAAGGUUAGAAGAUGAGUGAUUGGCUUACUUUAUGGACGCGGUCUUCGGUGCACCCCUUCCAGAGGCAAGAGACAUUCUUGGGACAAGGAAGGAUCCCUUUGCCUUUGGUGAGUGCUGGAGAUGACGCUGCGGGGAUGCAGUGAUCC
rnacentral:lncRNA from 1 species